rnacentral:lncRNA from 1 species
ACAGACAGCACUCAGAGAAUCUCCAGAGAGUGAAGGGCCCCAAAGCUUUGACUCUCCUUGCUUCUCGGUGAAUCCCACUCUGAGAUAUCACUGGAGGACGGACAGAGAGGAAAGACAUUUGGAACAGGAAAUAAUGACAAGGAAAAAAGUCUGGAGGAUGGAGCAAGAUGGCAGAAUAGAAGGUUCCACUGAUCAUCCCCCUGCAAGAACACCAAUUUAAAAACUAUCUACACAAAAAACACCUUCUCAAGAACCAAAACUCAGAUAUAGAAGACACUAUCCUAACAUUUGUAUGAAAGCACAAAACACCCAGAAGAGCCAAAAUUAUUCUAAGCAAAACCACCAACCAACCAACCCACCAAAACUGGAGGAAUCCCAUUGCCUGACUUCAAAUUA